AUUGAACGCUGGCGGCAGGCUUAACACAUGCAAGUCGAGCGGGGAAAGGUAGCUUGCUCCCUGACCUAGCGGCGGACGGGUGAGUAAUGCCUAGGAAUCUGCCUAUUAGUGGGGGAUAACAUCUCGAAAGGGGUGCUAAUACCGCAUACGUCCUUCGGGAGAAAGCGGGGGACCUUCGGGCCUUGCGCUAUUAGAUGAGCCUAAGUCGGAUUAGCUAGUUGGGGGGGUAAAGGCCUACCAAGGCGACGAUCUGUAGCGGGUCCGAGAGGAUGGUCCGCCACACUGGGACUGGAGCACGGCCCAGGCUCCUACGGGAGGGAGCAGUGGGGAAUGUUGGGCAAUGGGGGGAACCCUUAUCCGACCAUGGCGGGGGUGUGAAGGAAGCCUUUUGGUUGGAAAGCACUUUUAGCGAGGAGGAGGCUACCGAGAGUAAUACUCUUGGUGUGUUGACGUUACUCGCAGAAUAAGCACCGGCUAACUCCGUG
rnacentral:rRNA from 1 species